UGACCCACCAAUGCCAAGUGCCUCGGGACC
rnacentral:piRNA from 1 species